GCAAGCCCCGAGGUUCUUUUCCAAACAGGAUGGAGCAUUUCCAAGCUAUUUAAAUCUAGUGGAAAACCUCUCUGCCCUGAUUCUCCUGCUCAAAUGCCUCUCUGAGGGUAUGCAGGCAGCAAACCACAACCGGAGGGGAGCACUGGGGUUUCCACUGGAUUCCCAUUACGGACAGAAAAUUGGCAACUGCUCAGAUUAAACACCAGAGUGAAUUUGCUUGGCUCCAAGGAAGACAUUUCUGUGUCGAAAGAUUGCAAUGACGUUGAAGAUUUGACCUUCACAGCUUCUUCUUUGCUUCAUAGAAUAAUGCCAAUGCUUUUGUCAAAAAGGUCAAAAAGUAGUAUUUGAAACCAUAAGGAUUUUGCUUGCUGCUUACAGAGAUUAUUUUAGUGGUAAAUCUUACAGAAACUUUAGUCCAAAGCCAUUUUUUAGGUUUAAAUCUUUGGCAAUACAAGAGCUCAAUCCUAAAAUUUAGAUGGUUGUGGGUAACGCUGUUGGAAAUGCAGAUGUGUGGGUCCCAAUUUGCGUGUGUUUUGGGAUGUCUUGAUUUCAGGGUAGCCAGGCUGUAACAUCUUUUGAACUCCCAACUUCCUGGGAUGGUGUAGUCAGGACAUUCGAAGAGCAGUCCCAAGACAUAAUGAAAGGGCGAGUACAAGUGGUGAGAGCCCCAAAUGAAUGGCCUUAACUUGGAAGUUGAACAGAGGCUGAGCUCUAACCAGUGAUGAUUUCCUGCAAAGGACUCCAGCUACACACACAUCAGCAGCAGAGAUGGCACACAGGAGCCCACUGAAGCAGCUGGGCUUUGUAUUUUCUGAUUGCUAUUGAAUAUGCAAUGGGUAUUUCUCGUUACUUUUUAAUCUUUCCUUAAACAAAGUCAUAGUUCUUCCACAGUCACCUCGGAGACAGGGAGAGAAAUAUUUUCCUAACAAUUACUGCAGUCAGCUUAGCUGGGCAUUUGAAAGUACCAGACAUUUUAAAACAUACAAUAACAGUAAUCUUUAAAAAUACUUUAUUUUAAAAAUAUUAUUUGGGAAAAAAAGUCCUUGCUCCCUUUAUUCAGCAGGAAAUGCCACACAAUUAUCUUUAUUUUCUUACUGUUUGUGGGAUGAAUUGAAAAUCAGUAUUUUAGAUAAAUUUACCUAGCAGCAAUUAACAUUUAAUUUCCUUUAAAAAUAUAGAAACAAGAUUAAAAUGCCCAUUGGGGGUGAUUUAUCCUUGAUUAAAGUUUAGAAGUGACUGAGAAAAGUUGAUGUUCAGUGCAUUAAUCAAGAAAUAAGAGAAUGAAAACUUAUGUUUGAUAUUCCAGAAGCAAACUUGGAAGUGGCUCGGAAACUGGCUAAGUUUAUUUUUAUUAUCAAGGAAAUAAGUGUCUUGCAGGCACACACAGGUGACCACAGCCCACUGAAGAAGAAGAGCAGGUUUUCAUUGAACCCAGUGAUUUGGAAGGCUAAGAAAGAUGGGCUAAUAUUUGCACAGUCAGUAUUUUCUAUUUCCUUAGAUGUUAAAGGAAAGAAGGAAUUCAAAUGUGAUAACUUGUGACAACUUACAAUGAUCUGUAUUAAUUUAUUAUUUAUUACUAUGAUUAUCUCACUGGAGAGUGAGUGGAUUUAUGAUUUAGACCUGCCCAUCUCUGCAGAAAACCAGGGGUGUGCAACUGCUCUGCUUCCCCUUCGUAAGGACCUUGUCCAGCUCCAUGCAUGAAGGGCUGGGACCUCAGUGUACACAGCAAUUAUGGAGUGGACACGUAAAAAUGGAGACAGAAUCAUGACAUUUUUAUGGCAUUUUGACUCUUUGCAGAAUGUCUGAAUAAUUUGGAAUCUGGUCCAUAAAAAAUAAUAUUCCAGAUUGUUCAAAAUGCAUAUGCAGAUGAAUAAUCAGUUUAUAUGUCCAAUUAUUUGACUUGUGAGUAGAUUGGGCAAAACUUGGCAUAUUUUUUCCACCAUAUGGUUGUACUAACUUUCUUGAAAGAAAAAAUGACCUGAAAUUCGCAUAAAUAACUGUCCCACAGUUUUUCCUG